GUCGGGUUCUACUAACGGUUAGGUAACGACACUCUCACUGUCGAAAUAAGGGUUCGAUUCCCUUACCCGAUACCA
rnacentral:tRNA from 1 species